rnacentral:rRNA from 1 species
UACGUAGGUGGCAAGCGUUGUUCGGAAUUAUUGGGCGUAAAGGGCGCGUAGGCGGUUUGUUAAGUCGGUUGUGAAAGCCCGGGGCUCAACCCCGGAGGGUCGACCGAUACUGGCAGGCUAGAGUACAGAAGAGGUAGCUGGAAUUCCCGGUGUAGCGGUGAAAUGCAUAGAUAUCGGGAGGAACACCUGAGGCGAAGGCGGGCUACUGGGCUGAUACUGACGCUGAGGCGCGAAAGCCAGGGGAGCAAACGGG